GCCUGAUGCAGCAACGCCGCGUGCGGGAUGACGGCCUUCGGGUUGUAAACCGCUUUUAGUAAGGAAGAAGGGAAGCUUGCUUCUUGACGGUACUUGCAGAAAAAGGACCGGCUAACUACGUGCCAGCAGCCGCGGUAAUACCUACGGUCCGAGCGUUGUCCGGAAUUAUUGGGCGUAAAGAGCUCGUAAGCGGUUUGUCGCGUCUGCUGUGAAAUCCCGAGGCUCAACCUCGGGUCUGCAGUGGGUACGGGCAGACUGGAGUGCGGUAGGGGAGAAUGGAAUUCCUGGUGUAGCGGUGGAAUGCGCAGAUAUCAGGAGGAACACCGAUGGCGAAGGCAGUUCUCUGGGCCGUAACUGACGCUGAGGAGCGAAAGCGUGGGGAGCGAACAGGAUUAGAUACCCUGGUAGUCCACGCCGUAAACGUUGGGCGCUAGAUGUGGGGACCUUUCCACGGUUUCCGUGUCGUAGCUAACGCAUUAAGCGCCCCGCCUGGGGAGUACGGCCGCACGGCUAAAACUCAAAGGAAUUGACGGGGGCCCGCACAAGCGGCGGAGCAUGCGGAUUAAUUCGAUGCAACGCGAAGAACCUUACCAAGGCUUGACAUAACCGAGAACGCCGCAGAAAUGUGGAACUCU
rnacentral:rRNA from 1 species